rnacentral:rRNA from 1 species
GGAUUAAGAGCUUGCUCUUAUGAAGUUAGCGGCGGACGGGUGAGUAACACGUGGGUAACCUGCCCAUAAGACUGGGAUAACUCCGGGAAACCGGGGCUAAUACCGGAUAACAUUUUGAACCGCAUGGUUCGAAAUUGAAAGGCGGCUUCGGCUGUCACUUAUGGAUGGACCCGCGUCGCAUUAGCUAGUUGGUGAGGUAACGGCUCACCAAGGCAACGAUGCGUAGCCGACCUGAGAGGGUGAUCGGCCACACUGGGACUGAAACACGGCCCAGACUCCUACGGGAGGCAGCAGUAGGGAAUCUUCCGCAAUGGACGAAAGUCUGACGGAGCAACGCCGCGUGAGUGAUGAAGGCUUUCGGGUCGUAAAACUCUGUUGUUAGGGAAGAACAAGUGCUAGUUGAAUAAGCUGGCACCUUGACGGUACCUAACCAGAAAGCCACGGCUAACUACGUGCCAGCAGCCGCGGUAAUACGUAGGUGGCAAGCGUUAUCCGGAAUUAUUGGGCGUAAAGCGCGCGCAGGUGGUUUCUUAAGUCUGAUGUGAAAGCCC